UACGAAGGGGGCUAGCGUUGUUCGGAAUCACUGGGCGUAAAGCGCACGUAGGCGGACCUGUAAGUCAGAGGUGAAAUCCCGGGGCUCAACCUCGGAACUGCCUUUGAUACUGCGGGUCUAGAGUCCGAUAGAGGUGAGUGGAAUUCCUAGUGUAGAGGUGAAAGUCGUAGAUAUUAGGAAGAACACCGGUGGCGAAGGCGGCUCACUGGAUCGGUACUGACGCUGAGGUGCGAAAGCGUGGGGAGCAAACAGG
rnacentral:rRNA from 1 species